CUAGAAAUUUUUAUUAAAAAUCGUUUAUUGUAUUCGCAUAUUAUUUCAUGAACCAGCUAAUGAUAAUUUAAUGUUUUUAUUAUAACUUUUUAUUUUUAUAGUUUUAAAAAAUUGAACAAUAUGAGGAAAUUAUUUAAAAAAAUAUUGAACAUACUUUUAAUGAUGCUUUUUAUGAAUUUCAACAACUCCUAUGGUGGUGCUUUCAAUGGUGA